CUUCCUUCUAAUGGUGAGUGGUAGGAGGUGCAAAGCUUGAUGCAAUGAUAUGCUGAAAUAUAUGCAGAGAGAGGAAUAAAGCAAGCUGUAGCUGCAAGAGAUCUCUAAGGUCCUGUGGGGCUCCAGAUUCAAAGGCCCACUUCACCGUUGUCUCAAUCCACAUGUACUAAAGUAUGAAAGUGGAAAAAUGAAGUUAGACCUAGAAUUGAAGCCUGUGAUACACAGCAAACAACUUGCGUGAACUGUUCAGUAUAAUACCUUGUCUGUGCAGACUGUCAAGAGUUGGAUUCCCACAAGCCACAAGACUUAAAGGCUCUGAAAGAAUUGCCUUUCAAGAUAGCAUAAUAAACAUGAAGUU
rnacentral:lncRNA from 1 species